UAUGAAUCCAAAAAUAUCAGAUUUUGGCAUGGCAAGAAUGUUUGGAGUUGAAGAUCAAACUCAAGGAAACACCAAAAGAAUUGUUGGCACCUAAGGUUACAUGGCUCCAGAAUAUGCUAUGGAGGGAUUGUAUUCGGUAAAAUCGGAUGUCUUUAGCUUCGGAGUACUUUUGCUUGAGAUCAUGACGGGGAGAAGGAAACUUUUUAGGCUUUCAUCCAACAAAUCAUGCACCUACUCUUAUAGGCUAUGCUUGGCAGUUAUGGAACGAAACGAAAGGGUUGGAGUUGAUGGAUCCGUUGUUGAAGGACUCAUGCAGUCCAAAUGAAUUUUUGAGAUACAUUCAUAUUGGAUUAUUGUGUGUUCAAGAAGAUGCAAACAAGAGGCCAACUAUGUCAUCGGUUGUUCUAAUGUGUUAAAAAGUGAAACCAGUAGUCUAUCCAGACCUGAGAAACCAGCCUUCUUUACAGGAAGAUCUACUGAUCACCAUGAUCAAGAAAACGCUCAUAAUUGCUCAGCCAAUGGUUUGACGAUUUCUAAUGACUUGCCCCGUUGAGGAAGAUGACAAUUAAGUAAAGAUCAUUGUAUUCCAUUAAUUAAAGGCU